rnacentral:rRNA from 1 species
UACGUAGGGGGCAAGCGUUGUCCGGAAUCAUUGGGCGUAAAGAGCGCGUAGGCGGCCUUGUAAGUCCGCUGUGAAAGUCAAGGGCUCAACCCUUGGAUGCCGGUGGAUACUGCAGGGCUAGAGUCCGGAAGAGGCGAGUGGAAUUCCUGGUGUAGCGGUGAAAUGCGCAGAUAUCAGGAGGAACACCGAUGGCGAAGGCAGCUCGCUGGGACGGUACUGACGCUGAGGCGCGAAAGCGUGGGGAGCAAACAGG